rnacentral:lncRNA from 1 species
UAUAGUUAAUAAUAACGGUAUUGUAUACUUGAAAUUUGCUAAAAUGGUACUUUGUGGUGUGUUUGUUUUUUGUUUUUUGGUUUUUUUUUUUGACAGAGUUUCGCUCUCGUUGCCACUCCCAACCUCAGGUGAUCCGCCCACCUCAGCCUCCCAAAGUGCUGGGAUUACAGGCAUGAGCCACCGCACCCAGCCCUUUGUUUUGUUUUCUUAGAGACAGGGUCUCAUUUGGUCACCCAGGUGGGAUACAGUGGCAUGAUUUUAUCUCAUUGCAGCCUUGAAGCUCAUGCCUGUAAUCCCAGCACUUUGGGAGGCAGAGACAGGUGAAUCACCUGAGGUCAGGAGUUUGAGAACAGCCUGGCCAAUAUGGUGAAACCCCAUCUCUAUUAAAAAUGCAAAAAUUAGCCAGGCAUGGUGGUGUGUGCCUGUAAUCCCAAUUACUCGGGAGGCUGAGGCAGGAGAAUCGUUUGAACCCGGGAAGCGGAGGUUGCAGUGAGCCGAUAUCGCACCACUGCACACUGCACUCCAGCCUGGGUGAUAGAGUGAGACACUGUCUCAAAAAAAAAAAAAAAAAAAAAAAGGUGAAUUUCAUGGUGUAUAUA